UCUCGUUCUCGUACACCGGGAUCUUGUCGGCGCCGCCGCGCAGCUUCGCGGCGCGCUUCUGCCUCGCGCGCCCGCACGUCGGGGUCCCUUCUUCGAGCGCGAGCCGCCGCCGCCCUGCGCGCACGCCGCUCAGCAGCCUUGUCCAUCUUCCGCAGACCCUCUGAACGCGCGCGCGCCAAAACGGCGCGUUUAUUGUAUUAUAGAGCACCCCCUGGCGUACGGCGCCGCCGAAGAACACGCGAUCGUCGUCGCGCGAUCGUCUCUCUCCUUCCGUACGUUACAAGUACCGCCCUCUACGGCCAGUUCAAGAACUAACGAGAGGCGGUUACCUACGACGGGACGCUCGGGCCACGCCAUAAGGAGCUUCGCCCCUAAAA
rnacentral:lncRNA from 1 species